AGGGAGAGAGGAAAGAGGAACAUUAGUUUAGGUUUACAUGGGUUGGAGAAUGAAUGGCAUGGAAUUAAUAGGAUAAGCAAGUGGAGGGAAUGAGAAAGAUUUGUUUAGUGGGUUAAGUGGAAGAAAAGUAAGGAAGGAUGGGAUGAAGUUGGGGGAGGACAUUUGCUUAAGUUAAGAUUGGAUGGAGAAGAAAUGUCUUAAGAUCAAAAGGACUGGAAAAAACGAACGGUGAAGAAAAAACAAGAGAGAGAGAGAGAGAGAGGAUGGGAUAGGUUUGUUUGGAUCAAUUAAAGAAAGAGAGAGGAAGGUAUUGAGAGUAUUACCUGAAGAUUAUAAAGGAGGGAAAAUAAUUAGCUGAAGAUUAUCAGGAUUGGAAAGGGAAAUGUGCAAAACUACGUGAAUAAGAGGAUAGAAAAGAUUUGUUUAGAUUGAAGAAAGAGAAAAUGAUAAUUAAGGAAGUGAUGAUUGAGGAAAUGAUAUAUUGUGAAACGAAAACAAGGGUUAAGAUACAGAUGAUAGAAACGAGGGAGGGAGGGAGAAAGGAAUCGGAAAAGAGGAAGAGAGGAAGGUUAAGGCAAGGAAUGAAAAACAACCAGAAAAAGAACAGAGACACGAAAGAAGCGCAUCAAGAAGCGUGAGAUAAUGGGAGUGAAGGGCGUGGCGGGGCGAGAGAACAGGAAGGAAGGGAAGGGAAGGGAAGGACACGAGUAAUAACAUGAAAUAAAACCUCGGCAGACUCAACACCCGAACAUGAGUCAAGAAAGUGUUGCAAGUGCGCCCUGUCGUAACGCAGCGUCCCCUUUUGUUAAUGUGGCUGUGACGAUAAAAGACCAAUAGGGAGAGCAAUAUAGAAUACAACCAAGUGUCUAAUAUCGACCAGUAGGGAGAGCAAUAUAGAAUACAACCAAGUCUCUAAUAUCGACCAGUAGGGAGAGCAAUAUAGAAUACAAACAAGUGUCUAAUAUCGACGUUUCUCCCUUCGUUAAUGCGACGGUGAUGCAGGACCAGUGAGGAAUACAAAUGGGUACCUAAUUCUUAUGCCUCUUCCUCAUUACAGUAACCCGGCCAGUCACAACAUCUGGGAGACUAGAGAGAACCCCACGUGUACCUCCACCCAGCUAGUGAAAGUCCCGUACGGCGCAGACUCGCAUGCUAAUCAUCCCCGCGAAGCUAAGGACACGGGGACUGAAGGUCUUUGGUCUUUCCCUCGUCCGCGUGUCCUUCAGCGACCCGCCGCGGCUCCUUCAGGACAUGCAGGGCGGGGUUAGUGGGAAGGCCUGGCACACCUUGGGACGCCCUGCCAUGACCUCACGUAGCGCACCACCAGGGAAGAUCCCACACGUCACCUGCCGCCCCUCCUACGUGGUCCCUGUUGACGGCACGUCUUUCCAGGAAGAUGUAAAGUAUUCAGCGCUUUGACGGGACGCUUCACCGAACCCAUGAAGCAGCUUCACUGCCUGGCGCGUGGCGGGGCAAGGCAGGCAGUCGCUCGUGUUGCAGCGUGGCGGGCGGAAGGUCUUUCUCCACCGGAAUUAGGAAGUGUAACAGUAAGAAUAAUCUGAAGUUCACUGGCUGUGGUAAUCCUUCUAUUGCCCUCCACAUCAUGGUCAUCUGGAGAGGAGGGUUAAGGGGCGAGUGCUGCUGGCAGCAUGGAGCCACAGGGACCCUCGAAGUAAAACCUGUAAGAUAACAUCAAAGACUUGGAGGGAACAUCUGCCUAUCUGGACGACCUGGUGGUGACUUUGGAUGACUGGGUGACACAUCUGACCCGUCUCCGGAGGCUGAUGGUUCUAGAUCAUAUGGCAGCAAGAGGCUGAGUGGUCGGUCGGUCAUAGGGUGCGAGUGGAGGAGCACAAGCUACACUUGUGCUUUGUAAUCAUGAGGUAACAAAUUCCAGCAAGCAUCUGUAAAUAAAUAGUAUUUCUAUAA